UCUACGGGAGGCAGCAGUGAGGAAUAUUGGUCAAUGGGCGAGAGCCUGAACCAGCCAAGUAGCGUGCAGGAAGAAUGUCCUAUGGAUUGUAAACUGCUUUUAUACGGGAAUAAAGUUCUCCACGUGUGGAGAUUUGCAUGUACCGUAUGAAUAAGGAUCGGCUAACUCCGUGCCAGCAGCCGCGGUAAUACGGAGGAUCCG
rnacentral:rRNA from 1 species